UUAAGGUUUCAUAUGUUAAAUCCCUGUCUCUUCUUUCUCAUUUUCUAUCCUUCACCUUUUCUCACACCCCAGCCCUGCCUCUCUCUUUUCUCAACCGUUGGACCAUCGAGCCUCCACAUUUAUUGUUCCGACCAGGUUGCCCUCGGCCGCCCCUAGUCCGAUGCCACCAACCGCUGACGCCACCUAUGUUGUUCCACGCCUCUUUAUCGAGCCUGCAGGCCAAGCUUAGCCCAGCCUCCAGCCGAGUCUCCACGCCAAGUUUCCUUUUGAUUUUCCUGUAAAAUUUGUAAUUGAUGAGCAUUAUGAUUUAUCUAGAUUCCUUAGAAACCAGACACAGUAAACCAGGGUCUUUUGCUAGGUUUUUUGUUUUGUUUUUCUUUUUGGGGGUCUCGGGUAUGUGGGAAGAGGGUGUUCCUUUGUUUCCCUUUUUCCUGAUGUGUUUUCCUUUUUUGAAGGGAUUUUUCUGUUGUGAUUUUUGGUUAAAACAGAAGAAGGCAUUUUUGGUGUUGUGACGGUGGUUUCAGGUAGGUUUCAAGUGGCUAUGAUGAUGGUUCACGGUGGUGUAGGGUGGUUCGGGUCUGAUGAGGUUGGUUUGGUUAUUGGCUCUAGUCGUGGUGAAGGUGAGAGAAGUGGCUGUCUAGACUAGGGGUUGAUUUGGUGUUUUAUUAUCUAACUUAGGCACUGGGUGGUGGAAAUGGGGUUGGUAAUGGUGGUUUAGGUGGUGAUUUUGGGAGUGUGA
rnacentral:lncRNA from 1 species